rnacentral:rRNA from 1 species
GACGAACGCUGGCGGCGUGCCUAACACAUGCAAGUCGAGCGAAGUGAGUACUACGGUACGAACUUAGCGGCGGACGGGUGAGUAACGCGUGGACAAUCUACCCUGUAGACUGGGAUAACACCUCGAAAGGGGUGCUAAUACCGGACAAUGUCGAGAAGCGGCAUCGCUUUUAGAAGCAAGGAGAGAAUCCGCUAUAGGAGGAGUCCGCGUCCCAUUAGCUAGUUGGGGAGGGUAACGGCCCACCAAGGCGACGAUGGGUAGCCGGCCUGAGAGGGUGAACGGCCACACUGGAACUGAGACACGGUCCAGACUCCUACGGGAGGCAGCAGUGGGGAAUAUCGUGCAAUGGGGGAAACCCUGACACAGCAACGCCGCGUGAGCGAAGAAGGCCUUCGGGUUGUAAAGCUCAAUAGUAUGGGAAGAUAAUGACGGUACCAUACGAAAGCCCCGGCUAACUACGUGCCAGCCGCCGCGGUAAAAC